AGAGUUUGAUCAUGGCUCAGAGCGAACGUUAGCGGCGCGCCUAACACAUGCAAGUCGCACGCGAAAGGGGCAACCCAAGUAAGGUGGCGCACGGGUGAGUAACACGUGGGUGACCUACCUUCGAGUGGGGGAUAACGUCCCGAAAGGGACGCUAAUACCGCAUGACAUCCCGCCUUUGAACAGGCGGUGAUCAAAGCCGGGGAUCGCAAGACCCGGCGCUUGAUGAGGGGCCCGCGUCCGAUUAGCUAGUUGGUGAGGUAAUGGCCCACCAAGGCAACGAUCGGUAUCCGGCCUGAGAGGGCGGACGGACACACUGGGACUGAGACACGGCCCAGACUCCUACGGGAGGCAGCAGUGGGGAAUUGUUCGCAAUGGGCGCAAGCCUGACGACGCAAUGCCGCGUGGAGGAUGAAGGUCUUCGGAUUGUAAACUCCUGUUGCCAGGGACGAAUGGCUUCGACCUAAUACGUCGAAGUAUGACGGUACCUGGUGAGGAAGCCCCGGCUAACUCUGUGCCAGCAGCCGCGGUAAUACAGAGGGGGCGAGCGUUGUUCGGAAUUACUGGGCGUAAAGGGCGCGUAGGCGGCCCGCUAAGUCGAACGUGAAAUCCCCAGGCUCAACCUGGGAACUGCGUCCGAUACUGGCAGGCUUGAAUCCGGGAGAGGGAUGUGGAAUUCCAGGUGUAGCGGUGAAAUGCGUAGAUAUCUGGAGGAACACCGGUGGCGAAGGCGGCAUCCUGGACCGGUAUUGACGCUGAGGCGCGAAAGCUAGGGGAGCAAACGGGAUUAGAUACCCUAGUAGUCC
rnacentral:rRNA from 1 species